GUCCCCGUGGAGCAACGCAUCUCGCUCCCACGAAAUGAGCUUCACGAUUUGUGCCUACGCAGGGAGAGGCGGUGGUUCGAGUCCACCCGGGGACA